CAAACAAGCCAAAAGACAACGGGAAGCCAAACAGUUAAAUAUAUAUAUAUAUUUUUCGGAUUUUAAUUACAGAUGGAUGCGGACUCAGUCCGCGACAAGCAGAUCCUAUCUAAAGCUGCGCCUCCAAAUCUGCAAUGCGGGCGCGGACAUCUUCCAGCCUCUCUAAGAGCUCCGCUCUUUCUUCCCGGGCUGCCUCCAGACGCGCCGCCACCGUAGCCUCCACCGCCGGUUCCGGGCGAUC
rnacentral:lncRNA from 1 species